AGGAACACAUCGCUCACCAAAAAUUCUUAUCAACUAAACAGACGAAUAUAUACAAAUAUCAAAUAAUAAAAGCUAAACAUGCUUAUCAUCUCAACAAACAUCACUAUCGGUUAGACGAACCACAGCGGCACAUCGGCUAAUCUUUAUCAGAAAAAUAGUAAAAACAUCUUUAUCAGGAAAAUAGUAAAAACAUCUUUAUCAGGAAAACAAUAGAAACAUCCUUAUCAAGAAUGCAGCAGUACAUCCCUAUCAGCAAACCACAACUAUAUAAGUAGUCUUAAGUCUAUUAUAAGCACGUUGUAAGAAGAGGGAGUUGUAAAAAGACGGUUUGUUAAUAAAAAUGUAAAAAUAAAAUAGAAAAUCUUUACAUUGUUAACUCGCGCGCUCUCUCCUUUUGCGACCGCUUAGCGAUACAGACGUGGUAAGUGUUUGUUAUAUUUGUUAUAUUAAAAUUAUAUAUGUAUAUUAUAUGAAACCUUUUGUUUUAUUUAAUACUUGUGGAAUCAUUUGCGCCGACCGUUUCCCUACGGCCAACCACAACUAUGGAACGAGCGAGCACCGUGCUCCACCACUCGAAUUAUCAUUGGUCCUUCGAGCCGGAUAACAGAUCCGACUUUGUGCAACAUUUUUGCAGUUCCGGUUCAAUUUUUGAAAACAAUGGAAUCCAUCAGAGCCUUUACCACAGCUGCAGACGCUCUACUGGAGUUUGAGGAGUCUUUUACUCCAACAGCAAACAACCAAAGUGCCUACCUCUUGAAGUACAACAAGCUGAACUGAAAUCUCAGUGGGCAGAGGUAUAGUCAGAAUACAAGUUGUGUUUGCCAAAGAUGGAUCCUUCCGACACAAGGUCAAUUGACGACAUUAAGCUUAAAUAUUCAAGCUGUUGCCACGCUUAUGUGUGUUGCGCGACCUUGAUGGACGAACACAUGUACAACCUCUCUCAGUUAGGGAUUUAUUUGCCGCCAUUUAUGGGAAUAAUCCAAGGCUAUCUCCGGUAGAAAAGUUAUUCCAUUUGAAUCAAAAAACGUGAGAUGAGGCAAAAGCUAUCGUUUCGAAAACGCCACUGACGAAUGACGGUUGGGUUUUAACUGGUUCAGUUGGCUCCGAAGAAACAAAGAUAAAUCGCAAACAACAGCAACAACAUCAGCAGCAGCAGCAACAACAGGAUCCGACUAACAAUGAUGCGCCGGCUCAACGAAUCACAGCGAGACACAUGGUGGCGCAUUUCGAGCACCCGGCAUUGGGUUGCAAUCGCACAACGGUGACCACGUCUCUGGCAGUAGUUCGUCGCAUACACAGAAUUCAAUGCCACACCUACAGGCAUUCCACGGCGGCCUGCAGUCGCAUCUGUUGCGCUGACAACAACGUGGUGCAGCAGCAAUGCAACGAGAACCCGCAAAAGCAAAAAGACAGAAGAAUUGUGAUCCAGAUAAGCUCUUCUUGCUCUCAUUCUACGAGGAGAUUAAACGUGUGCCCGAAGAGAUACGAUUCGAUGUCAAGGGCGAACUCAUAUAAUCACAAAUGACAAAAUACAAUUGUCACGGCAUGCGCAAAUAACGCACAGUUCUAUAUCAACUGCAAAGGAACUAUGGCGAGUGUGCCGAUAAGGUGCAUAAGCAGAAUGAGCAGCGCAAACAGAUGAGGAUGUCAAUCGGAACGACGUAUUCGGGCCCCUCUCAACCGUGUCAACCGACGUCAUCAGUCACGUAAAGCUUUGACCAACGAGGCCUCUCUCGUAUGCCACACGCUCAAGAUCGAGCCAAACUCAAGUCGUCCCGCCGACUUCGACGUGCUGGUAACUUCUACUCGGGUUGGCGGCAUGGCAACGAUCGACAGAGACUCGAUUCGUCUCAGCUACAUUGUCAGGACCGAGCGGAACGCCAUUCGUUCCACACGCUCGACGUCAAGAAGACUCGUUAGCUCCGACGCCAGUAAGGUCUCUGGAACACCAUAUAUUUUAACAAUUCCGCAACCCAAUACUGGCAGACAACGAAUUCCACAGGGCAGCGCCAGUCGAAGUAAUUUUGGGACGUUUACUCCCGGCUCAUGUUGCCAGUGUUACAACCAGCGGCAGUGGGACAACUCAUCGCCCAAAAUAGGACACUGGGAUAUAUAAUAUCCGGUGUCGUCUAAUAUCUGCACAAUAAAGUGCACUGGCUGCCAACGCCUCUCACAUUUACCGCCUACCCAGGAUCGAGUUAAACUCGAGUCGUCUCGCCGACCUCGGAAGGUGGUGACUUCGAUGCAAAUUGGCGGCAUGGCAAUGACCGACUCAGACUCGAUUCAUCUCAGCGGCAUUUCACGGACCGAACCAGACUCGAUUCGUCUCGUCGGCCACCCUAUCUGCAAAGAAGACGUGGAAGAGAAAGUGCAGGAGGCAGUUAGUUAAGUUAGUUUUAAGUAAUUUAUUGUAAACUGCAUUUGCAGUAAUACUGCAAGGCGGGGAGAAUGUUGACGCCGCCCCGCCCAAUUUCUUUUGCCACGUCUGUAUUUUUUCUUUUCCUCUUUUUCAAAGUUUUAAUUCGCGCGCAACUAAACACUAACUAAAAAAGCUUCGCGCUCUCUCCUUUUGCGACCGCUUAGCGAUACAGACGUGGUAAGUGUUUGACCAAUUUGUUAUAUUAAAAUUAUAUGUAUUAUAUGAAACCUUUUGUUUUAUUUAAUAUUUGUGGAAUCAUUUGCGCCGACCGUUUCCCCACGGCCAACCACAACUACGGAACGGGCGAGUAGCGUGCCCCACCACCCGAAUUAUGAGUCUAUCUGAAGU